GAUGAACGCUGGCGGCGUGCUUAACACAUGCAAGUCGAACGAAGCUCCGGACGUGGAGGCUUCGGCCAAAGCAGAAGGAAGACUUAGUGGCGGACGGGUGAGUAACGCGUGGGUAACCUGCCUUGUACAGGGGGAUAACAGUUAGAAAUGACUGCUAAUACCGCAUAAGCGCACAGUACUGCAUGGUACAGUGUGAAAAACUCCGGUGGUACAAGAUGGACCCGCGUCUGAUUAGCCAGUUGGCAGGGUAACGGCCUACCAAAGCAACGAUCAGUAGCCGACUUGAGAGAGUGAUCGGCCACAUUGGGACUGAGACACGGCCCAGACUCC
rnacentral:rRNA from 1 species